UCAACGUGUGGGUCGCGGAGAUGUCGCGUUUCGAGAGCGCGAUGCCGUGGUAUCUGAACGCGGUCCCGUUCGAUCACGAGGCCAGCGCGCCGAC
rnacentral:tRNA from 1 species